rnacentral:rRNA from 1 species
CAGUAGCCGCGGGAAUACGGAGGAUCCAAGCGUUAUCCGGAAUCAUUGGGUUUAAAGGGUCCGUAGGCGGUCUUGUAAGUCAGUGGUGAAAGCCCAUCGCUCAACGGUGGAACGGCCAUUGAUACUGCAGGACUUGAAUUAUUGGGAAGUAACUAGAAUAUGUAGUGUAGCGGUGAAAUGCUUAGAGAUUACAUGGAAUACCAAUUGCGAAGGCAGGUUACUACCAAUUGAUUGACGCUGAUGGACGAAAGCGUGGGUAGCGAACAGGAUUAGAUACCCCCGUAGUCCCUGUCUCUUAUAA